rnacentral:rRNA from 1 species
GACGAACGCUGGCGGCGUGCUUAACACAUGCAAGUCGAACGGAAAGUCCCUGCUUUUGUGGGGUGCUCGAGUGGCGAACGGGUGAGUAACACGUGAGUAACCUGCCCUUGACUUUGGGAUAACUUCAUGAAACUUGGGCUAAUACCGGAUAGGAGCUCCUGCCGCAUGGUGGGGGUUGGAAAGUUUCGGCGGUUGGGGAUGGACUCGCGGCUUAUCAGCUUGUUGGUGGGGUAGUGGCUUACCAAGGCUUUGACGGGUAGCCGGCCUGAGAGGGUGACCGGACAAAUUGGGACUGAGAUACGGCCCAGACUACUACGGGAGGCAGCAGUGGGGAAUAUUGCACAAUGGGCGGAAGCCUGAUGCAGCAACGCCGCGUGCGGGAUGACGGCCUUCGGGUUGUAAACCGCUUUCGCCUGUGACGAAGCGUGAGUGACGGUAAUGGGUAAAGAAGCACCGGCUAACUACGUG